AGGCUCAUAGCUCAGUGGUAGAACAUAUGCUUGGCAUGCAGAAGGUGCCAGGUUCAAUCCCAUGUAGGUCUG